AUAAAUUUUUUUUUGUUAGAA
rnacentral:tRNA from 1 species